UGACCGCCAACACUGGGACUGAGACACUGCCCAGACUCCUACGGGAGGCUGCAGUCGAGAAUCAUUCGCAAUGGGCGAAAGCCUGACGAUGCGACGCCGUGUGAACGAAGAAGGCCUUUGGGUUGUAAAGUUCUUUCGCUUAGGAAUAAGAGAAGGUAGCUAAUAUCUAUCUAAUUUGAAGGUACUAGGUAAAGAAGCACCGGCUAACUCCGUGCCAGCAGCUGCGGUAAUACGGAGGGUGCGAGCGUUAAUCGGAUUUAUUGGGCGUAAAGGGCGUGUAGGUGGGAAUGAAAGUCAGACGUGAAAUCCCGGAGCUCAACUUCGGAACUGCAUCUGAAACUUCAUUUCUUGAGGAUAGACGGAGAAAACGGAAUUCCACGUGUAGCGGUGAAAUGCGUAGAUAUGUGGAAGAACACCUGUGGCGAAAGCGGUUUUCUAGUUUAUACCUGACACUGAGGCGCGAAAGCUAGGGGAGCGAACAGGAUUAGAUACCCUGGUAGUCCUAGCCGUAAACGAUGCAUACUUGGUGUAGUUGGAAUCAACCCUAACUGUGCCGGAGCUAACGCGUUAAGUAUGCCGCCUGGGGAGUACACUCGCAAGGGUGAAACUCAAAAGAAUUGACGGGGACCCGCACAAGCAGUGGAGCAUGUGGUUUAAUUCGAUGCAACGCGAAGAACCUUACCCAGACUUGACAUACAAAGGCAAGACGCAGAGAUGUGUCCCUCCCUCGGGACCUUUGUACAGGUGCUGCAUGGCUGUCGUCAGCUCGUGCCGUGAGGUGUUGGGUUAAGUCCCGCAACGAGCGCAACCCUUAUCAUUAGUUGCCAACACGUAAUGGUGGGAACUCUAGUGAGACUGCCUAGGUUAACUAGGAGGAAGGUGAGGAUGACGUCAAGUCAGCAUGGCCCUUAUGUCUGGGGCUACACACGUGCUACAAUGGCCGUUACAGAAGGCAGCGAGACCGAGAGGUGGAGCAAAUCCUUAAAGACGGCCCCAGUUCGGAUUGUAGUCUGCAACUCGACUACAUGAAGUUGGAAUUGCUAGUAAUGGCGUGUCAGCAAUAACGCCGUGAAUACGUUCCCGGGUCUUGUACACACCGCCCGUCACAUCAUGGGAGUUGGUUUUACCCGAAGUCACUGACUUGACCGCAAGGGGAGAGGUGCCUAAGGUGAGGCUGAUGACUGGGAUGAAGUCGUAACAAGGUA
rnacentral:rRNA from 1 species